AUUUGCACGGCCGGAUAAAAAUACGUACCCGAUUUAAUCUGGUUAUUACUACUGCCCAGAAACUAGAAUAUGCAUAUAAUUAUUGGCUUUGGAUAGAAAACACCCUAAAGUUUCUAAAACUGUUUGAAUGGUGUCUGUGAGUAUAACAGAACUCAUAUGGCAGUCAAAACUCUGAGACAAAUCCUGACAGGAAACUGAAAUCUGAUGUGUGGAUAUCACUUCAAACAUUUGCCAUUGAAACACACAGGGGCUUGCGAUUCAUGUAGCACUUCCUAAAGCUUCCACUAGAUGUCCCCAGUCUUUACAAAGUGUUUUGAGCCUCCUACCAUCAAAAUUGACUCAAAGAGAGGAUGUUUACCUUGGUUACAGGAAAUGGGCCAUUACCAUUGUGACGUCGGCGCCCAUGGGUACUCUCCCUUUUCGAAACGUUUUGAAAGACAAUGCAACCAUCCCAAUGGAAUAUUAUUGAAGCCCUGGUUGAAAAAGCCCCUAAAGAUUUAUGUUAUACAACGUUUGACAUGUUUGAACGAACUUAAAUAUAUUUUUUUUGCUCAUUCCUGACGACAAGUCAGACGCACACGGUACAUUUUCACUAGCCUUCGGAGCGCGCUAACGCUAUUGGGACAUAAAUUAUUAACUUUUUUGAACAAAACUACAUUUGUUAUGGACCUGGGAUGCCUAGAAGUGCCUUCUGAUAAAGAUAAUCAGAGGCCACUUACAAAACCUGGUGGAAAACAUCAGGAAUGGUUACAGAGGUGGAGGCCCUGGCCGACACAAGUCGCGCUUCAGAGAAAUGGAUGACACUUGAAUCAGGUUGGUCACAUUUGAUGUGGCCCAAUGGUCAAAAUAAUAUCUGUCCUGGAAUUCACCUAACCACCAUUGAUAAUGUAGUCAGUGCAGGUGUGUAUAUAUGUGUUUUUUAUGUUGUAAGAAGGUGCCCCUUUCCACUGUGCCAAUGGACUCCUCCUGUGCCUGAGUGAGUAAUGCUAACGAGUCAGUGCCAUGCUGGCACGUGUCCCUUGGGAAUUAGUUGUGAAUCAAGAUCAUUCAUUGGCUACGUUCAACUGUGUAUUUACUGUUGGCAUCCAUGACUGAAUGGUGACAGUCUUUCUCGCUCUCCCUCCCUCUGUGACAUAGGAGCUGGGUCGGAUAUAGGAGCUAAAGUCAGGCUCCUUCAUGACCAGUAUCUGUGACAAGAGGGACCUGGAGCUGAUCUACACUGCCAUGCCCAUCAGGCAUGGCAAACACCUUCAGAAGGGACAAAAAGUGAUUACUAAUUAGACAGUACAUCACAAGUGUUUAGUAAUAGCAUCCUUUCAAUACAUGUGUCACUCAUCAACUCUUCCUAAUUUUUUUAUAGAUGGAGGACAGAAAAGACGCUUUUGAAAUGGAGUCCUCUGAAUGAAAGACAGGUUGAUACUGAUAUCUGAAUUGGGACCGACCAAAUCAAAUCAAAUCAAAUCAAAUGUAUUUAUAUAGCCCUUCGUACAUCAGCUGAUAUCUCAAAGUGCUGUACAGAAACCCAGCCUAAAACCCCAAACAGCAAGCAAAGCAUGUGAAAGAAGCACGGUGGCUAGGAAAAACUCCCUAGGAAAAACUCCCUAGAAAGGCC
rnacentral:lncRNA from 1 species